AGUGAACGCUGGCGGUAGGCCUAACACAUGCAAGUCGAACGGCAGCACAGUAAGAGCUUGCUCUUACGGGUGGCGAGUGGCGGACGGGUGAGGAAUACAUCGGAAUCUACUUUUUCGUGGGGGAUAACGCAGGGAAACUUACGCUAGUACCGCAUACGACCUACGGGUGAAAGCAGGGGAUCUUCGGACCUUGCGCGAUUGAAUGAGCCGAUGUCGGAUUAGCUAGUUGGCGGGGUAAAGGCCCACCAAGGCGACGAUCCGUAGCUGGUCUGAGAGGAUGAUCAGCCACACUGGAACUGAGACACGGUCCAGACUCCUACGGGAGGCAGCAGUGGGGAAUAAUGGACAAUGGGCGCAAGCCUGAUCCAGCCAUACCGCGUGGGUGAAGAAGGCCUUCGGGUUGUAAAGCCCUUUUGUUGGGAAAGAAAAGCAGCAGGUUAAUACCCCGCUGUUCUGACGGUACCCAAAGAAUAAGCACCGGCUAACUUCGUG
rnacentral:rRNA from 1 species